UACGUAGGUGGCAAGCGUUGUCCGGAAUUAUUGGGCGUAAAGCGCGCGCAGGCGGCUUCUUAAGUCUGAUGUGAAAUCUCGGGGCUCAACCCCGAGCGGCCAUUGGAAACUGGGAGCUUGAGUACAGAAGAGGAGAGUGGAAUUCCACGUGUAGCGGUGAAAUGCGUAGAUAUGUGGAGGAACACCAGUGGCGAAGGCGACUCUCUGGUCUGUAACUGACGCUGAGGCGCGAAAAGCGUGGGGAGCAAACAGG
rnacentral:rRNA from 1 species